rnacentral:rRNA from 1 species
GAUGAACGCUGGCGGCGUGCUUAACACAUGCAAGUCGAACGGAAAGGCCCAAGCUUGCUUGGGUACUCGAGUGGCGAACGGGUGAGUAACACGUGGGUGAUCUGCCCUGCACUUCGGGAUAAGCCUGGGAAACUGGGUCUAAUACCGGAUAGGACGAUGGUUUGGAUGCCAUUGUGGAAAGUUUUUUCGGUGUGGGGUGAGCUCGCGGCCUAUCAGCUUGUUGGUGGGGUAAUGGCCUACCAAGGCGUCGACGGGUAGCCGGCCUGAGAGGGUGUACGGCCACAUUGGGACUGAGAUACGGCCCAGACUCCUACGGGGGGCAGCAGUGGGGAAUAUUGCACAAUGGGCGCAAGCCUGAUGCAGCGACGCCGCGUGGGGGAUGACGGCCUUCGGGUUGUAAACUCCUUUCGCUAGGGACGAAGCGUUUUUGUGACGGUACCUGGAGAAGAAGCACCGGCUAACUACGUG